CCCUUAGAGUUUGAUCCUGGCUCAGGAUGAACGCUAGCUACAGGCUUAACACAUGCAAGUCGAGGGGCAGCGAUGAAGAAAGCUUGCUUUCUUCAGGCGGCGACCGGCGCACGGGUGAGUAACGCGUAUCGAACCUGCCUCAUACUCAGGAAUAGCCUUGCGAAAGUAAGAUUAAUGCCCGAUGUUAUUAGGAUAUCACAUGAUGUUUUAAUUAAAGAUUUAUCGGUAUGAGAUGGCGAUGCGUCCCAUUAGUUUGUUGGCGGGGUAACGGCCCACCAAGACAUCGAUGGGUAGGGGUUCUGAGAGGAAGGUCCCCCACAUUGGAACUGAGACACGGUCCAAACUCCUACGGGAGGCAGCAGUGAGGAAUAUUGGUCAAUGGACGCAAGUCUGAACCAGCCAAGUAGCGUGCAGGAAGACGGCCCUCUGGGUUGUAAACUGCUUUUAGUUGGGAAUAAAGUGCAUCACGUGUGAUGUUUUGUAUGUACCAUCAGAAAAAGGACCGGCUAAUUCCGUGCCAGCAGCCGCGGUAAUACGGAAGGUCCAGGCGUUAUCCGGAUUUAUUGGGUUUAAAGGGAGCGCAGGCGGACCUUUAAGUCAGCUGUGAAAUACGGCGGCUCAACCGUCGAACUGCAGUUGAUACUGGAGGUCUUGAGUGCACACAGGGAUACUGGAAUUCAUGGUGUAGCGGUGAAAUGCUCAGAUAUCAUGAAGAACUCCGAUCGCGAAGGCAGGUAUCCGGGGUGCAACUGACGCUGAGGCUCGAAAGUGCGGGUAUCAAACAGGAUUAGAUACCCUGGUAGUCCGCACAGUAAACGAUGAAUACUCGCGAUUUGCGAUACACAGUAAGUCGCCAAGCGAAAGCGUUUAGUAUUCCACCUGGGGAGUACGCCGGCAACGGUGAAACUCAAAGGAAUUGACGG
rnacentral:rRNA from 1 species